AGUGCAAGUGAUGAGAAAACAGACAAGGACAUCAGUACUCCUAUCUCUGGAGAGUGAUGACUUGGUCUAAUGGGAAUCUCUCUGAUGCACA